rnacentral:rRNA from 1 species
GCGGCGUGCCUAAUACAUGCAAGUCGAGCGAACAGAUAAGGAGCUUGCUCCUUUGACGUUAGCGGCGGACGGGUGAGUAACACGUGGGUAACCUACCUAUAAGACUGGGAUAACUUCGGGAAACCGGAGCUAAUACCGGAUAACAUUUGGAACCGCAUGGUUCUAAAGUGAAAGAUGGUUUUGCUAUCACUUAUAGAUGGACCCGCGCCGUAUUAGCUAGUUGGUAAGGUAACGGCUUACCAAGGCGACGAUACGUAGCCGACCUGAGAGGGUGAUCGGCCACACUGGAACUGAGACACGGUCCAGACUCCUACGGGAGGCAGCAGUAGGGAAUCUUCCGCAAUGGGCGAAAGCCUGACGGAGCAACGCCGCGUGAGUGAUGAAGGGUUUCGGCUCGUAAAACUCUGUUAUUAGGGAAGAACAAACGUGUAAGUAACUGUGCACGUCUUGACGGUACCUAAUCAGAAAGCCACGGCUAACUACGUGCCAGCAGCCGCGGUAAUACGUAGGUGGCAAGCGUUAUCCGGAAUUAUUGGGCGUAAAGCGCGCGUAGGCGGUUUCUUAAGUCUGAUGUGAAAGCCCACGGCUCAACCGUGGAGGGUCAUUGGAAACUGGGAAACUUGAGUGCAGAAGAGGAAAGUGGAAUUCCAUGUGUAGCGGUGAAAUGCGCAGAGAUAUGGAGGAACACCAGUGGCGAAGGCGACUUUCUGGUCUGUAACUGACGCUGAUGUGCGAAAGCGUGGGGAUCAAACAGGAUUAGAUACCCUGGUAGUCCACGCCGUAAACGAUGAGUGCUAAGUGUUAGGGGGUUUCCGCCCCUUAGUGCUGCAGCUAACGCAUUAAGCACUCC